UACAGGAAGGACGAGCGUUAUUCAUCAUUAUUAGGUGUAAAAAGUGCGUAGGUAUGCUGUUGUUUUCGAUUUUUUUAAAGGCUAAUAGCCGUGCAAAAAUUGUAACGCAGCGAACGAGUGCAGUGGAGGUUGGUGUAAUUGCUAAGGGAGAGGUGAAAUUCUAGGAGAUUAGUAGGAAAGCUAAAAGCGAAGGCUAUUUU
rnacentral:rRNA from 1 species